rnacentral:rRNA from 1 species
UACGGGGGGGUGCGAGCGUUGUCCGGAAUCACUGGGCGUAAAGGGCGCGUAGGUGGUCUGAUAAGGGUGUGGUGAAAGCCCGGGGCUCAACCCCGGGUCGGCCGUGCCGACUGUCAGACUAGAGUGCUGUAGGGGCAGGCGGAAUUCCGGGUGUAGCGGUGGAAUGCGUAGAGAUCCGGAGGGAGACCGGUGGCGAAGGCGGCCUGCUGGGCAGAUACUGACACUGAGGCGCGACAGCGUGGGGAGCAAACAGG